rnacentral:rRNA from 1 species
UACGUAGGGUGCAAGCGUUGUUCGGAGUUACUGGGCGUAAAGGGCGUGCAGGCGGUUUGUUAAGUGCAGGGUGAAAGCUCCCGGCUCAACUGGGAGAGGUCCUUGCAUACUGGCGAACUCGAGGGAGGCAGAGGAAAGUGGAAUUCCCGGUGUAGUGGUGAUAUGCGUAGAUAUCGGGAGGAACACCUGUGGCGAAGGCGGCUUUCUGGGCCUUACCUGACGCUGAGACGCGAAAGCGUGGGGAGCGAACCGG